AACGAACGCUGGCGGCAUGCCUAACACAUGCAAGUCGAACGAGACCUUCGGGUCUAGUGGCGCACGUGUGCGUAACGCGUGGGAACCUGCCCUUAGGUUCGGAAUAACUCCCCGAAAGGGGUGCUAAUACCGGAUAAUGUCUUCGGACCAAAGAUUUAUCGCCUUUGGAUGGGCCCGCGUUGGAUUAGCUAGUUGGUAGGGUAAAAGCCUACCAAGGCGACGAUCCAUAGCUGGUCUGAGAGGAUGAUCCGCCACACUGGGACUGAGACACGGCCCAGACUCCUACGGGAGGGAGCAGUGGGGAAUAUUGGACAAGGGGCGAAAGCCUGAUACAGCAAUGCCGCGGGAGUGAUGAAGGGCUUAGGGUUGUAAAGCUCUUUUAGCCGGGAUGAUAAUGACAGUACCGGGAGAAUAAGCUCCGGCUAACUACGUG
rnacentral:rRNA from 1 species